rnacentral:lncRNA from 1 species
ACAAAACCAGCCAUCCCCAUCUCACAGAUUUCAGUUGCUGACGUGGCAUUAACCGGCAGAAAAAACAGUUAGCUCCCUCUCAGAACAGAAGGGAGAGAGAGAGAGAGAGAGAGAGAGAGAGAGACAGAGCCUCUCGCGUGUUCAACAAUCUCCAAAAAAGCUCUUCGAAUUUGAAAAACCAAAAAACAAAGAAAAUCAAAUAAAAAUCGAAGGCAUUGUCUCUCUCAACAACAAAAUCUCCCAAUCGCAACCUUUCAUUUCUGCGAAUUCCCUUCGCCGCGGUUUCAACGACCCUAACUUCAUAAAAAAUGGUUCGGAUUUUCACAAUUUCUGUUGAUUCCAUGCAAUAUUGCAGAUUCUGAUUCCUUCAGCGUUGCUUCGUCUCACAUUUGCGACGUUGAAGGCGUUUCACUAGAGAAAUCCGCAAAAUUCGAAGAUUCCGGUGGGUUGGAGGUUCACGCGCGUUUCUAGGGUUUGUUUUGAGCUGAAUGUGUUUUCCUGAGAAUUUUUUGAGCUGUGUGAUGUUUCAUUCUUAGCUAUGGGGUAGAUAAUUUGCAAGUGGUAAAUUGGUUUCAUGAGUUUUCAUGGGGAGGAAUUUGACAUUGGUUUAUGGUAUCUGACAGAGCCUCUCGCGUGUUCAACAAUCUCCAAAAAAGCUCUUCGAAUUUGAAAAACCAAAAAACAAAGAAAAUCAAAUAAAAAUCGAAGGCAUUGUCUCUCUCAACAACAAAAUCUCCCAAUCGCAACCUUUCAUUUCUGCGAAUUCCCUUCGCCGCGGUUUCAACGACCCUAACUUCAUAAAAAAUGGUUCGGAUUUUCACAAUUUCUGUUGAUUCCAUGCAAU